GAGGGUACAGCUCAGUGGCAGAGCGCAUGCUCAGCACGCAUGAGGUCCUGGGUUCAACCCCCAGUCCAUUUU
rnacentral:tRNA from 1 species